CAGGAAAGGAUUUCUCCAGCCACGUGGAGCUCCCUGAGCUUCCUAAAGAUAGGAGUCCCACCCUUCCAACCUCCAUCCAUGAAUAGCACCAACAUCCACCCAGUUGUUCAAGCCAGAAACCCAUCCUUCACUUCUUCCUCCCUUCCCUUUACCUUCCACAUCCAAAUCCAUCAGCGAGUUCACUUAUAGCGCUGCAAUACAUCCUGAAUCUCUGUAUCUCAUCCUCUCCACUGCUGCCACCCUACACCAGGUCACUUCUCAUCUACUCAAGUGGCCUCCUAAGUCUCUCUGCUUCAAAUCCUGAGCCUGUCCAGUCCACUCUUCACAAGCAACUGCAGUAGUCUUUUAAAAAUAACUCAGAUAAAGUGUGAGCCAUUAUAUACAUUACCCUAAAUUGCAUAGUUUGCCCACCUCACUAGCCGUAGCCCCUCAUUAUCCUCCAGGCUCACUGGCUUUCCUUCAGGACCUUGACUGAAGCUCUCUUCUGAUUUGGGGCUUUGUAACUUGCUGAUGUCCCUGCAACACCCUUCCCCUUCCCUGUUGCUUUUCCUGGCUAAUUCCUCCAAUAUUCUUUAGGUCUCAACUUCAAUGUCACUAUCUCAGAGAAGGGCCCUUGCCUGCCCAAAUCUAGGUAUCUUACCUAUGUACAAGUAAACCUUCUUAUUUUCCUUCAUCAACACUUAACACAUACUUUAUAAUUACAAUUGUUCAAGUAUUUAUCCAGCCAAUAUCACAUUAUUCUGUAAGUUUCAUAAGGGCAAGGAUUCUAGUUUACCAAGGUCGAAUUUGGAAAGAUACCAAGGUUUUAGAAAAACACCAUGUUGCCUGCUGUGAUGAAGAAAAGUUACUAUAACUAGGUAUAAAAUUCAUGUAAAAUAUGGCAAUUUCUAAGUGAAUGGUAUAUUUUUUAUUACAUUUAAAAUACCUUACUUAUUUUGUCCAGUCAUCCUGUUAUUUGCUUGAGUUGCUGAGCACUGGACUGCUGCCUUAAAGGGUGGCUCAUGCCUGAAACCCCCACUACAAAGUCACCAGCUUCUUGCAGUAGCCAUGCUGGCAUUCUGUUUGAUUUUGUGCCCGCUCCUUCUAGAAGUAUUGAGGUGUUUUUUUUUCUUUUUUAAUUAAAAAGAAAUUGAACAUUUAAAAAUGCACAAUAUGAAAAUAAUUUGAAGUGCCCUAGGACUGUGGUUCUCAAACUUUAUGGUGCAUCAGAAUCACCCGGAGGGCUAGUCAGCUCUCCAGACUGCCUGAUUCAGCAAGUCUGGGGUAGGGCCUGAAAAGUUGUACAGAGUUCUUGGGUGAUGCUGAUGCUACUGGUUCAGAGUUCACACUUUGAAAACCACUGUCCUGGGGUGUCACGAAGCUAUGGUUUAUAAACACUGAAUUAGCUUAGGUAUUUGUAAAAAGAAUAGACAUUUAAGAGAUCAUCCAAAUAUGUAGUUACAUAAUCCAUUAACCACUCUUUGUCAGACUGGUGAGCAAACUAUACACAGUCACUGUUUUCAGAACAAGGAGGAUGUAACAAAUCACACCUGGAAUCCGGGAAGAUGUUAGCCAAUCUUGAUUUCAAGGUCAUUUACUCAAAACACAGUUCUGAAACCCCUGCUAUGGAAUAUGCAGCCAGCACUGAACUGGGGGCCAGAACAUAGGCUGCCAUCCACCCACCCAUUCAACAGUUGUUCUUCACAUUGACUCUGGGCCUCACACUAGAGAAACUGUUCACAAGUCAGACGCUACCCCUGCUCUGAUGGAGUUCACAUUCUUUGAAGGAGAAAGGCAGUAACAAGUUCACAAAUAAACAGGAUAACUUCAGAUGGUGAUAGCAGCUCUGAAGGAAGCAACAAUAGAAUAAUGGUAUGGAGUGGGGCCUAGGGUGCUACUUUAGAUGGGGUGACUGAAGAAGAACUCUUUGAAAAGAUGACAUUUAAGCUGAUACCUAAUGGGUGAGAAUGAGUCAGCCUUUGAAGAAGGAUGAAAAGGGUUUCAGGCAGAGACUGGCAGGUCCAAAGGUCUUGUGGAGAGACCAAGGUUGGCAUGUUCUAGGAACUGAAAGGCCACUGUUGCCAGUAAGCACCUGCAGGAAGAAUGUAGAAAGAACUCGGAGAGGGCAGCAGAAAUUUAAAUGUUUUUCUUAGUGGGAAUGGAAUCUACUGGAAAACUUUGAGCAAGAGAGUGAUAUGAUCUGAUCAACAUUUUAAAAAGAUCACCCUGGUUUUUGUGUCGAGAAUGGACUGCAGUAAAAAUGAAAUCAAAGAGCCCUGGGAGGAGGCUGCUGUUAGCAUGGAGCUUGGUUUAAUCAAGUGAGAUGGGAAAGCACUUUGCAAUUUAUAACAUUGUGGAAAUAUUAGCAGCUAUUGCAAUACUAGUUCUGAUUUAAGCGUUCAUGUCUGGUUCAGAAUUGCACAUAGGCCGCACAACUAUAAUCCCAGCACUUUGGGAGGCUGAGAUGGGAGGAUUGCUUGAGCCCAGGAGUUCAAGACUAGCCUGGGCAACAUGGUGAAACCCUGUCUCUACAAAAAAAAAAAAAAAAAAAAAAAAAAAAAUCAGCUGGGCACAGUGGCGUGUGCCUGUAGUCCCAGCUACUUGGUACGCUGAGGUGGGAUGAUUGCUUGUUUCCAGGAGGUGGAGACUGCAGUAAGCCGAGAUCAUGCCACUGUACUCCAGCCUGGGCAACAGUGGGAGACCCCAUCUCCAAAAAAGCACAUAAAUACAAUUCUAUUGUGAGGCUGAUUAGGGACUGGAUUCGCCCAAGCUUUAUUAACUGGUAUCCUUGGUCAAGCUAUUUCACUUCUCUAAGCUUCCUUUUAAUCACUUUAAAUUGGAAUAAGAAUACACACAUUUUUAAAGAUGUUGUGAAGCUUCAAUGAGAUGGUCCAUUAACAUGAUUUAGCCCAGUGCCUCUUGGCCCCUAAAUUAGUAUUCAUUCAUGUUAGCUACUAUUUUUAUUAAUGUCUCUGAUCUUCAAUUUCUUCUUCAGUAAAAUGGGGCACUAAAAACUACUCUGUAAAGAACUUAACGUGAUAAAAUAUGCAAAACCCUAGUCCAACAAUACAUGACAUCCAGUAGAAACUCAGUACAUAGGAGUUCAUAGGAGUAUCUAAAUGACAUAGAAUAUUGUAGCUAGGGACACCAAUGUCCUAGCUGUCACUGUAACUACUGUUAAGUGUAAUGAAAACAGAAAAUGGUUCACAUUUUAUAGGCCAGAUUUACAACCACAUUCUUAGGACACAAAAUUUUCUUCUAGUAAAUUAAGUGUAUUCCAAUGACUUAACAUAGAUAAUAUGCCCUCCUUCCCGUCACACAAAAAUAGACCUUCACCCUCAUCAGAAUCCAGUCUGUCACUAUGUAUCUGCACAGACAGAAAACAUAAACGUUGCAGACAUUUUGGUUUUGAGUUACUGCCUGCUACUUCCCUGUGUUUCCGCUGCUGAAUUCAAAAUCUGUAAUUAUCAUCAAGAAUAAAAACCAAAACAAAGCCAAAAUGAAAAUAAUUACUUGCAAGGAGUAGAGAGACUGGAAGAAGACAGCCUUAAUCACUGAACUUUAUGUCCAAUUCAUUAAGAUGGAAAAACCCUUCCUAGUAAAUGGCCAACAAUUCCAGAAGGCAAGGAUUACAUCUGUAUUCUUUAAGUAAUUAACAUAGUGCCUUAAUCCAGUGGGGGGACCCAAAUGCAUUUCACUGAACAACUGAAUGAAUGAAUAUACAACUUCCCAAUUAUGUAUAGUGCAUCUAUUGAGACCACUACCCAAACUUGUCCUUCCUGCUUCUUCAGGGUCUUUUCCUGUGACCUCAUAUAACAAACACCCCCAAGAGUUGAACAGAUGUUCUCUUGGUACUGGAUUCUGAAGGAGUUAUGAAAGUCAAUAAAUAAUUCAAGAUGGCUAAAGGGUGGGUCAUAAACCAUCUCCAUCAAUUGGUGGUCCCUAAUACAGGUGUGUAUCAGAGUGAACUGGGUGGUGUUUCUAACUACCCAAGGACAGGUCUCUGGCCAGAUUUAUUGAUUCAGAAUCCCAAGUGAUUCUGAUGCAAAUCUCUGGUUUAGAACUACUGUUUCAGGAUUGUAGAGGUUGCCAGGGAUGUGAGACUAGUAACUGGUAUGUGUGCCAAAAGCUCUCCUGCACCCACGACAGACAGUGCUACCUGAUCAGUACAGCCUUAUUCUCUGAGCCUGCAGUCACUCAAAAGCCUUUAUUGUUUUUAUUGUGGUAAAAUAUACAUGACAUAAAAUUUAUUUUAACCAUUUUUAGUGUACAAUACUAUGGCAUUAAGUACAUUACAUUGUUAAGCAAUGAUCACCACCAGCCAGCUCCAGAAUGUUUUCAUCUUCCCCAGCUGAAACCUAUUAAACACUAAUUCUCCAUUUCCUCUUUUCCCCCAGCCUCUGUCAACCAAAGUUCCACUUUCUGUCUCUAUAAAUUUGACUACGCUAGAUACUUCAUAGAAAUGGAAUCAUACAGUAUUUGCUUUUUUGUGACUGGCUUAUGUCUCUGAAUGUCUUCAAGGUUCAUCUGUGUUGCAGCAUGUGUCAGAAUUUCCUUUUUAUCCAUUCAUCCAUUGCCGGACACUUGGGUUGUUUCCACCUUUUGGCUACUAUGAAUAUAUGCUAUGAACAUGAAUAUAUGUAUUAGUCCGUUCUCAUGCUUCUAUAAAGGACUGCCCGAGAGUGGGUAAUUUAUAAAGGAAAGAAGUUUAAUUGACUUACAGUUCCACAUGUCUGGGGAGGCCUCAGGAAACUUACAAUCUUGGCAGAAGGGGAAGCAAACACAUCCUUCUUCACAUGAUGGCAGGAAGGAGAGGUGCCAAGCAAAAGGGGGAAAAGCCCCUCAUAAAACCAUCAGAUCUCACGAGCACUCACUCACUAUCAUAAGAACAGCAGCAUGGGGGUAACUGCUCCCAUGAGUCAAUUACCUCCUGGCAGGUCCCUCUGACGACCUGUGGUGAUUAUGGGAACUAAGAUUAAUUCAAGAUGAGAUUUGGGUGGGGACACAGCCAAACCAUAUCAUUAUACAAAUAGCUGUUUGAGUCCCUGCUUUCUUCUUUUAGGUAUAUAUCCAGAAGUGGAAGUGCUGAAUCACAUAGCAAUUCAAUGCUUAAUUUUUUGAAGAAGUUAUACCAUUUCCCACAGAGGCUGCAACCAUUUCACACUUCCACCAGCAAUGUACAGUUACAAGGGUUGCAAUUUCUCCACCUCCUCACCAACACUUGUUAUUUUCUGCUUUGAUAGUAGCCAUCCUCACAGGUGUGCCAGAAUUCUUCUUGAUGCAGCACUUCAAGCAGCCAUUGUCAAUCGAUCAAAGUUGACAAAUGAGAUGAAAACCAUCUGUUAUUUCAAAAGUGUGAUCAUAUUUCUCUAAACUGAUUAAGAGAGCUCAACUUCUUUUCAAUGGGAACUUAUAACUGUAACUGUAGGAUUUACCAGGUAUUGAUGGUCAUGGUGAUAUUGGGGUUGUUCACAUGGCUGAUUGUAAUGGGGGCAGUAACAAGGACACCAGGAGAAAGGACACGAGGGCUGCCAAUAUGCAGAAUGAGUAGGCAGAGAUGAGGCCUGAGAGGCACUGCAUAAGGUAGCAUCGAAGACAGUCCAGGCAAAACACCAAGUCCAGGAACCAGGCAGGACAAAUGAUGUCCCCACAUCCUGACUUAAGUGGUAAUGGGAUUUUUUUUUUCCUUUUCCUUCCUCUGGUUUCCUUUCUCUGUCCUUUACUUCUCUAUUGCCUGUGAAUCCAUGGUUUGAAUGAUUAAAGUUUUUGAUAUUUCCCCAAGUGCAGGGUUCCAAGCAUGACUUGGAAUACUAUUAACACUGUGGUCCAUGUGAAUGACACUGCUUGGACUUGUGCAAUGCACAACCUGUAGAGCAAUAUGGGCCAGGCAUGCCUAGUGAAAUCGAAA
rnacentral:lncRNA from 10 species